UACGGAGGGUGCAAGCGUUAUCCGGAUUUACUGGGUUUAAAGGGUGCGUAGGUGGAUUGGUAAGUCAGUGGUGAAAUACUUUCGCUUAACGAAGGAACUGCCAUUGAUACUACCAGUCUUGAAUACAGUGGAGGUGGGCGGAAUGCGUCAUGUAGCGGUGAAAUGCUUAGAUAUGACGCAGAACACCAAUUGCGAAGGCAGCUUGCUACACUGUUAUUGACACUGAGGCACGAAAGCGUGGGGAUCAAACAGG
rnacentral:rRNA from 1 species